GACGAACGCUGCGGCGUGCCUAAUACAUGCAAGUCGAACGAGAGCGACCGGUGCUUGCACUGGUCAAUCUAGUGGCGAACGGGUGAGUAACACGUGGGUAACCUGCCCAUCAGAGGGGGAUAACAUUCGGAAACGGAUGCUAAAACCGCAUAGGUCUUCGAACCGCAUGGUUUGAAGAGGAAAAGAGGCGCAAGCUUCUGCUGAUGGAUGGACCCGCGGUGCAUUAGCUAGUUGGUGAGGUAACGGCUCACCAAGGCCGUGAUGCAUAGCCGACCUGAGAGGGUGAUCGGCCACAUUGGGACUGAGACACGGCCCAAACUCCUACGGGAGGCAGCAGUAGGGAAUCUUCCGCAAUGGACGCAAGUCUGACGGAGCAACGCCGCGUGAGUGAAGAAGGUUUUCGGAUCGUAAAACUCUGUUGUUAGAGAAGAACAAGUGCUAGAGUAACUGUUAGCGCCUUGACGGUAUCUAACCAGAAAGCCACGGCUA
rnacentral:rRNA from 1 species